UACGGAAGGCAGCAGUAAGGAAUCUUGCACAAUGGGGGAAACCCUGAUGCAGCAACGCCGCGUGAACGAUGAAGGCCUUAGGGUUGUAAAGUUCUGAUCUGGGGGAAGAAGAAAGUGACGGUACCCCAGGAGAAAGCCCCGGCUAAAUACGUGCCAGCAGCCGCGGUAAU
rnacentral:rRNA from 1 species